UUUCCGUAGGUGAACCUGCGGAAGGACCAUUAUUGGAUUUUGAAACUUCAGGCUGCUGCUGGCUCUCCUCGGAGGGCAUGUGCACGCUUGUUGUCCAUUAUUUCUCCCACUGUGCACAAAUUGUAGACCUUUCAGUAGGCCUAUGUUGUUUUUCACAAUCUCUGAAUGUAAUAGAAUGGUUUUGAAUCUUGGGAAAUACAAUACAACUUUCAGCAACGGAUCUCUUGGCUCUC
rnacentral:misc_RNA from 1 species